rnacentral:lncRNA from 1 species
AGGUACUCCAUUGUCUGACGGAUCUGAGAACGCUGUCUGGGCUUCGUGCCAAGGGCUGGUAUUCACACAGCAACGACGGCCUCACAGAAGAGCUGUGGGAAGCAGGAGGGCGAGCCUCUCUUAGGGUGCCACUACUAUGGAGACACAGCUGGGCUGAACAAGAUUUGCUUCAAACGACAACAAGAGAGACAGAAAGUAUCUGAUUCAACCGCUGCCCAAGCAGGCAGGCACCAGAAGAGCUAGCAGCCAAUCCGGCCAUGCUCGAAGCCAGUCCUGCAGCUCAGCCAAUCAGUGACAUCAUUGGACAUCUCUUCAGAUUGCUCAUCAUGAUAUGAAGAUGAAACUUAAUAGCAAUAACCAAUGGAUGCUUUUCUUGGAUUCAGUCCAACACUCUGGAGACCAGAUCUUCAGGAAUGUAACUGGGAUAAUUGUCCAAAUUGAAUCCCAUACCCUGUCAUGCAUACCAGAAUAGGAGUCCUGUCUUAACUGAGCAAUAUACACUAUGGAGAGAUCCUUCAAAACCCGUCGGGACGAAUAACAGAUGAAUUCAUAAAACUGUUCAUCUCUGUUAUCCUGAAUGGUCACUCAGACAACAUUUUACUCAACUAUAAAGGGGAACACUUAAAGUGCAUAUGAGAAGAGAAGAGAAUGACCACAGGAGAAAAUCAUCUCAGGUAAAACGAAAAGGCACAAAUGUAGAGAGUAAUUAAUCUUAGAAUAUUAAAGAGAAAAUGAUUAUGUCUGUGUUUGGUAUAAGAAAUGGUCCUUCCCUUUAUGAAGCUACGUAUUUGGGAUUUUCACUGAUGGUUUUCCUUCAAGAGUUUACAGUAUUACUUGCCUUUGUCAACCUUUUGUUUGGUUUUGUGAUCAAUGCCCAGUGUCCAUCAUUCUGAGGACAUAUGUGUAUGUUGAUUUAUACAAUUCAGGUACAAGAUGGUUGAAUAGGAAGCUAUUUAAUGAAAAGGAAAAUAUGUUCUCAGUGGUUAUACAUUAUAAAAGGAAGUAAAAAUCUGAUAGAAAAGUAUAAGCUCAUAGUUUAUUUUUAAUCUUUUCCAUAUAUCUAGUAAGACAAUAAUGUCAAAGUAUAUUUUGUAGUAAUAAAAGCUACAGCCAGUGUUUCCUCUUUCUUUUUUUUAAACAUAAAAUGUAUAAAUAUAUAAGGAAAUACUUUUACUACAAUUGGAUGCAUGAUUGUUGAUUAUUUACUACAGUUUUAAUAAGUAGGAGAAUGAUUUGAAAAUAAAUAAUGGUGAAAAUUUGUGUAGGCCAAAUUAUCUGUAUUAAACUGGAGAAAAUACAUUCUAUUUUUAUUUAUUUCAAAACAUGCCAAAUCAUGAAGUAAUUACUAUGCAGUAUUAUUUUUCACAAUGAAGAUAUAAUUAAGAAAAGCUAAAUCAUUUUAGAUAUGAGUGCAAUGAUUAACGAUUGUACAACUUAUAAUUUUGCUUCAGAUGAGCUUAGAAUCCUAAAAAUGUACAUGUAACUGGCUUCAUGUGUGCUUACUGGCUUGCUUUCUUACAGUGUAGUAGCUGACAGAAUUAAGAAUCAUUUAUUUCAUUUCAACCUGUUGAACAGAGGAAUUAUAUGUAGCUGUGUAUUUUGUUGAAAGGAUAUAGUUCUUGGGAAAUAGAUUUAAAUGUGUUUUGUUGAAAGGGAAUGUAUGCUCCUUGGUGUGAUAUAAGCGACUACAAAUAUUCCAGAAUAGCAGGAAUAACACCGAUCAUGUCAUUGAUUUUAGGGUUUUUUGAUACCAUAUCUUUUCCUCACUGCUGUAAAAGUUUAAUUUCAUCCCCACUGUAGGCACAUGUCUGUACAUCUAGAAUUUGUGGGUUUUGUGUUCUUUACCUAGUCAACAAGACCUCAUUUGUUUAUAAAAAGCUAUAAUGUGACUAAAUCUCAAAAAUCAUUAACUGAGUUUUAUGUGAAUAAAUACAGUCACUCUAGUGCAUAUACAGUUUAAUAACUUCCUUUUUAGUUGUAGACUUAUCAUACUAUAUCUGUGCCUCACAACAGUAUAAUUCAUAUGUACAUAUAUUAGGUUCUCAAUUAGGACAUUUUAACAACAACGUUAAAAUAUUCACAGUUUAAAACAAAAGCAAUCUUUAAAAAAGAAAAAAUCAAGAAGAAAAGAGAGAAGUAAGAAAAGAAGAAAGGGAGGGAGAAAGAAAGAAAGAAAGAAAGAAAGAAAGAAAGAAAGAAAGAAAGAAAGAAAGAAAAGGAAA